rnacentral:rRNA from 1 species
UACGGAGGAUCCGAGCGUUAUCCGGAUUUAUUGGGUUUAAAGGGAGCGUAGGUGGAUUGUUAAGUCAGUUGUGAAAGUUUGCGGCUCAACCGUAAAAUUGCAGUUGAAACUGGCAGUCUUGAGUACAGUAGAGGUGGGCGGAAUUCGUGGUGUAGCGGUGAAAUGCUUAGAUAUUACGAAGAACUCCGAUUGCGAAGGCAGCUCACUGGACUGCAACUGACGCUGAGGCGCGAAAGCGUGGGGAGCAAACAGG